rnacentral:tRNA from 1 species
GGGGAUUUAGCUCAGUGGUAGAGCGCUUGCCUAGCAAGCUCAAGGCCCUAGGUUCGAUCCCCAGCUCCG